UGGAUCCAGACUUGAUUAUGGCUCAGGAUGAACGCUAGCUACAGGCUUAACACAUGCAAGUCGAGGGGCAGCAUAUCGGUAGCUUGCUACUGGUGAUGGCGACCGGCGCACGGGUGAGUAACGCGUAUCCAACCUUCCCAUGACUGGGGAAUAACCUUGCGAAAGUAAGACUAAUACCCCAUGGUUUCCGAGGCGGACAUCCAAUUUGGAAUAAAGAUUCAUCGGUCAUGGAUGGGGAUGCGUCUGAUUAGCUUGUUGGCGGGGUAACGGCCCACCAAGGCGACGAUCAGUAGGGGUUCUGAGAGGAAGGUCCCCCACAUUGGAACUGAGACACGGUCCAAACUCCUACGGGAGGCAGCAGUGAGGAAUAUUGGUCAAUGGACGAGAGUCUGAACCAGCCAAGUAGCGUGCAGGAUGACGGCCCUAUGGGUUGUAAACUGCUUUUAUACGGGAAUAAAGUCAAUCACGUGUGAUUGUUUGUAUGUACCGUAUGAAUAAGGACCGGCUAAUUCCGUGCCAGCAGCCGCGGUAAUACGGAAGGUCCGGGCGUUAUCCGGAUUUAUUGGGUUUAAAGGGAGCGUAGGCCGCCGAUUAAGCGUGUUGUGAAAUGCCGCAGCUCAACUGUGGCACUGCAGCGCGAACUGGUUGGCUUGAGUGCGCGGAAGGCAGGCGGAAUUUGUGGUGUAGCGGUGAAAUGCUUAGAUAUCACGAAGAACCCCGAUUGCGAAGGCAGCUUGCCGCAGCGUAACUGACGCUGAAGCUCGAAAGUGCGGGUAUCGAACAGGAUUAGAUACCCUGGUAGUCCGCACGGUAAACGAUGGAUGCCCGCUGUUCCGGCUAUAUGUUGGAGUGGCCAAGCGAAAGCGUUAAGCAUCCCACCUGGGGAGUACGCCGGCAACGGUGCAACUCAAAGGAAUUGA
rnacentral:rRNA from 1 species